rnacentral:rRNA from 1 species
GACGAACGCUGGCGGCGUGCUUAACACAUGCAAGUCGAGCGGUAAGGCCCUUUCGGGGGUACACGAGCGGCGAACGGGUGAGUAACACGUGGGUGACCCGCCCUCAGCUCUGGGAUAAGCCUGGGAAACCGGGUCUAAUACUGGAUAUGACUCCAUGACGCAUGUUGUGGGGUGGAAAGCCUUGUGCGGCUGAGGAUGGGCCCGCGGCCUAUCAGCUUGUUGGUGGGGUGAUGGCCUACCAAGGCGACGACGGGUAGCCGGCCUGAGAGGGCGACCGGCCACACUGGGACUGAGACACGGCCCAGACUCCUACGGGAGGCAGCAGUGGGGAAUCUUGCGCAAUGGGCGAAAGCCUGACGCAGCGACGCCGCGUGAGGGAUGACGGCCUGGUGU